rnacentral:rRNA from 1 species
CGGGAGGCAGCAGUNGGNAUNUCNNCCAAUGANGAAGUCUGAUGAGCNNGCCGCGUGANUNNNNAGGGUUUCGGCUCGUAAACUCUGUNNUAAAGNAGAACAUAUCUGAGAGNNNUNUCAGGUNUGACGGUAUUUACCCAGAAANCACGGCUAACUACGUGCCAGCAGCCGCGGUAAUACGUAGGUGGCAAGCGUUGUCCGGAUUUAUUGGGCGUAAAGCGAGCGCAGGCGGUUUUUUAAGUCUGAUGUGAAAGCUUUCGGCUCAACCGAAGAAGUGCAUCGGAAACUGGGAAACUUGAGUGCAGAAGAGGACAGUGGAACUCCAUGUGUAGCGGUGAAAUGCGUAGAUAUAUGGAAGAACACCAGUGGCGAAGGCGGCUGUCUGGUCUGUAACUGACGCUGAGGCUCGAAAGUAUGGGUAGCAAACAGGAUUAGAUACCCUGGUAGUCCAUACCGUAAACGAUGAAUGCUAAGUGUUGGAGGGUUUCCGCCCUUCAGUGCUGCAGCUAACGCAUUAAGCAUUCCGCCUGGGGAGUACGGCCGCAAGGCUGAAACUCAAAGGAAUUGACGGGGGCCCGCACAAGCGGUGGAGCAUGUGGUUUAAUUCGAAGCUACGCGAAGAACCUUACCAGGUCUUGACAUACUAUGCAAAUCUAAGAGAUUAGACGUUCCCUUCGGG